CCUGGUUGGAGCUGAUAUGCCAUUUAACAACUUUUCAUUAAUUUCAUUCAUUCAUUCUAGGGCUCAAAAACCCAUAGUUUCGUUCAUAUUGAACUCUUGACUGAUUUGACUCAUGUGGCGGGCGUAUUUAUUUAUACUGUUCCGAAACCCUGGUGGGGUUUCCAUGGUUACUAAUUGACAGGGUUACCAUGGUUGGCCUCUUGGCAGGGUUUACGAAUUUGUUACCAGGGUCGGUAGCUCGCUUACCGGAGUUUUGGAUUAGUAUAAAUAAAAACGCUUGCCACGAGAGAUAGGUAGAAUGAAACUGGUUCAGAGCCGAUCUGGUUGAUAAGAAGCCGCUCAUUCAACAUAGACACAUAACCGAAGGUGAACAGACCUACCCGUCCAGUUAAUACAAAGGACAAUCUCACCUCGGUCCACAAAAGAGACACAUACCAGUCGCCUCCUGUAGCACCAUGAGCCUUCUGUCUGACGUGGAGAGCGUCUAUGGGAAACCGGUCGCCACAUCCUACGUAUGACCCAUGCAUCUUUUCUUACUACAUAUUUCUGUAGCCUUGUGAUCGGCUAGGAUUUGUCUCUAGCUGUCUUUACUUCUGCUUCACGUUGUGUAUUUACUUCUUCUAGUUUCUUAAGACGUUUGUCUUACCAGGAAUAAUAAUGCAUAGUUCGCUUCUACAUUUUAUAUAGCAUAUAACUGAAUACAGGUAUACAAGCAUAGCACAAAUUACAAUACAAUAUAGCAUAGCUAAAACCACUUCUCCACCCUAUCCAGCCUCUCGGCUGUCUAGGAACUCAGAUGUACCCUCGAUCUCUGGAAUCUAAUGGAAGUCUGACUUACAGGGUUCCCCGGUUUCUUUUAAAGGUAUAUAAAUAUCAUGCACCAUAAAGCGUGAUCAUGGCCCUGAACUUGUGUAAUUAACAAAAUGAUUGGUUACUUUAAGCUAAAUGAUGCAAUUAGAAUAAUUCCACUAUAAGUGCUGCAUAGUAUCUACCGUUAAUUGUUUGACCCUUUUGGAGGUAAUCCACCAUGAGAACACCCUCAGAAUCCCAUAAUACUGAGGCCAUCACCUCUCCUGCCGAUGAAACAAUCUUUGCCUUCUUUGGGGUCGGCGACUAUUUUGACUGCUCUUUUGUUUCUGGCUGAAAGUGGUGUACCCAAGUUUCAUCCAUAGUAACAAUUUGUUUUAGGAAACUGUCAGGAUCGGUUUCAAAUAAGGCUAGAUUCUCUUCUGACAUGAUGUGUCUUGAACGCUUUUGAUCAGGCGUCAAAAGCUUUGGCACCCAUCGUGCUGAAACCUUUGUCAUUUCCAAAGUUUCAGUGAUAAUAGAAUGAACUCUCUCCUGGCUAAUACCAAUUACCCUAGCGCCAAAAGUUAUCAUCCAAUUCUUUUGAAAUUGAUAUACGUUGUUUACAUUAGUGAAAUGAAGAAGCCUAUUUAAUUUCAAUAAUUUCCGUUUAUAACGUCUAGAGUUAUGGCCCCUGUUUCACUUUGUUGAACUUUGUGAACACUCUAAUGCCAAAAGUUAACAUCCGAUCUUUGUGAAAUUUAUAUGCAAUAUUUAAAUUAGGGAAACGAUGAAGCUUAUUGAAUUUCAGCAAUUUCCGUUUAUUACUUCUAGAGUUAUGGCCCUUGUUUCACUUUGUUUAACCUUGUGAAUGCUCUAACCCCAAAAGUUAUCAUCCUGUCUUUCUGAAAUUUAUAUGCAUUAUUUAAAUUAGUGAAACGAAGAAGCCUAUUGAAUUUCAGCAAUUUCUGUGUAUUACAUCUAGAGUUAUGGCCCUUAUUUCACUUUAUUUAACCUUGUGAACGCUCUUAACGCCAAAAGUUAUCAUCCGAUCUUUCUGAAAUUUAUAUGCAUUAUUUAAAUAAGUGAAACGAAGAAGCUUAUUGAAUUUCAGCAAUUUCUGUUUAGAGUUAUGGCCCUUGUUUAAUUUUAUUGAACUUUGUGAAUGCUCUCUAACAUCAAAAGUUAUCUGUCGAUCUGUAUGAAAUUUACAUGAGUCAUUUAAAUUAAUAAAGAAAAGAAUCCUGUUGUAUUUCAGCAAUUUCCGUUUAUUACAUCUAGAGUUAUGGCCCUUGUUUCACUUUGUUAAACCUUGUUGAUGCUCGAUUGAUGAAAGUUAUCCGAUAUGUAUGAAAUUUAUAUGCAUCAUUUAAAUUUGUGAAACAAAAAAGUCUGUCAAAUUUCAACAAUUUCUGUAGAUUACUUCCAGAUUGAGACCCUUGUUUCAAUUUGUAGAAUCUUGUGAACCCUCAAACGGCAAAAAUUAUGAUCUGAUCUGUAUGAAACUAUCUUGUAAAGGCCCCCAGUUACCUACAAAGGAAUAAAUAUGCGACAACCCUUGUCGACGGCUUGGACGAUUUAGCCGCUGUGGGCGUAUGUUUCGUUGCCUGGCAACCUAUCUUUAUUUUUGUUUAACAUUUUAUAUAAUUGAAGUUUUGUAAUUUUAACCAAAAUACUCGUUGGAUUCUUUUGUGACUACCAGUAGGGUGACCCAUGCACUCUACAGAAAUACAGUCCACCGCUGAUAGUUCGAGACUACCACUGAAGCGUGCACAUUCGCCAUGUCGAGACCAACUUUCUGACAGUAUGAUACUAUAAAUAGCCAUGGCACGUGCAAUUCUCUACAAAUCUAUCAACUAUUACAGCCGUAAAAAAUUUAUUGUUGAUGAUUUUGAAUAGCAGUAAAAUUAAGCUUCUUGGUUAUUACAGCAGAUUUAGAAAUUACGUUCGUUUCAUUUUUUAAAUCGCUUUAUCAUUAACUGUACCGUUAAGAGCGGCAUCUUUUGGUUUAGUACAAAUAAUAUCUCUGAAACACUCAGGUUAGACAGGAACAUGAUACUAGCAGUAGUUUCAUUUUACUUUUACAAGCUUCUUAAAACAAUUGUUGAGCUACCUAACGUCCUUAUUUCUAAAUUCAAUUUCUUGUUCUAGCUUUCUGUUAUGUUUCGUAAAAAAGUAGUCUUGAUUAUCCCGACCUGUCAAUCAGACGUAGAAUGGUCGAUAGACUGGUUAAGCGAGACUAAUUUCAAAACAAGGGCACGUAACCUAUCUUUUACUCAAAAGUGUCUGGAUGUUAUGGACGACACUUGGAACCAGUUUUCAGUCUAUUAUUUAUAGAUGAUUAAUGGUCAUAGCUUAUUAAGUACAAUAGGGACUAUGUUUUUUUAUUGUACCGACUUUAGUAAUGAAGAUCGAGGCUAGGUUUCGAAUCCCCGGUUGUACGUCGCAAGAAGUAGGGUCGCCUGUCCAACCUUGUGGGUUUUCUCCGGGUCCUCCGGUUUCCUCCCACUGCUAAAGACCCCUAUGCGCAAGCAAAUAUUUGAAAUAAAAUCAAACCAUAUGUUAGUCCCGAAAUGACCUAGUUUGUGUCGUGGACGUUAAACCCCAUUUCUCUCUCUCUCUCCUAAAAUACAAAUGCUAAUAUCACGGUUCAGAGUGGAGCAAUUCGACUGAAAUUUCCAGCAUAUUCUAUUCAUGUUAUCUUUUUUUAACUAUUAUUGUGACAACUGCCAGUUCUUUAUCUAAUCUCCCAUAAUGCCCCUUUAAGAUUUUUUUUUUCUAAAUUUUUCUCUGUCACGAACUUUUGAGGUAGCCUAAUACAGACCUACUGUAGAAGUUGAUAUCUCUUCAACAUUCAAGGAUGCAAUAAUAUAAGAUGGACGAGAGCUGAUCAUGUCAGUAUCAUCUGUAGACUUGGAGCAUUUUGGUGGUGAUAUACUAAAAUAAUCUGACAUUCUUCUAUCGGACGUUGACGAAGGCUGUUCAAUUUUUCGCUUACGACCCUUGACAUGUGAUUUGAUGAUAACUGACUUGCAACAACCCAAAGAAUAUACAGUGGACUCUGUCACCUCCGACAUCGUACGGGAUCGUUACUGCGUUUCGGAAUACCAAGCUUUCUCCAAAACCGGAAAUACUGUAACUUCGAAAACCGGAAGUAGUUUUAUAUUGUAGCUUCGAAAAUUUUAUUACAUUAAAUAAUUAACAAUAACAAUGCAUGCGUAUAAUAUAUUCAUAAAAUCAUUUACAUGUAAUAUCAAUGCAUGCUCACAAUAUAUUUAUAAAUAUCAAUGCAUGUUAACGUUUAAAGUAGUUUGCUUAAGAUUACCGGAAGCAUAUCGUAAGGCGGAGUCCUGGACAACAUCUUCUAACAAAUGAAUUGUUGCGAUCAUCUUUUCGUCCUUAAUCUGUGCGAAGUGUUUAAUGUCGUUGAGCAUGCGUAGGCAUUUUGAAUAGGUCAAGUCUGUCGUUAAUGUAUAUGCUUCAUCGUCACCGUCUUCAGUCAAUUGUCCACUCUGUUAGGCUGACCUUAAAAAUAUCUUUGUUUCGCCUAACCCGACCGACUAACUAAAACCACCCCCGACUUAAAUUAUUUUAUUGCACUUUUCCACGAUCUUUUUGUCCCCCGCCUUUCGAAGAAAGCAGGGGACUAUUAAAAUGGGUUCGUCCGUCUGUCUGUCUGUCCGUCUGUCCGUCCGUCUGUCUGUCCGUCACACUUUUUGGGACACAAUAACUCUCUUCCUAAUUGAGCUAGAAUGUUCAAACUUGGUGUAUGUGUUUAUUAGGUCAAUGCCUUGAUGGAGUUCGAAGAUGAGCAUUUUCCGCUUAGGGUAAGCAGAGAUAAGCAAUUUGAUUGGUUGAUGCUUUGGGACACGAUAACUCUCUUCCUAAUUGGGCUAGAAUGUUCAAACUUGGUGUAUGUGUUGAUUAGGUCAAUGCCUUGAUGGAGUUCGAAGAUGAGCAUUUUCCGCUUAGGGUAAGCAGAGAUAAGCAAUUUGAUUGGUUGAUGCUUUGGGACACGAUAACUUUUAAUUGAGCUAGAAUGUUCAAACUUGGUGUAUGUGUUUAUUAGGUCAAUGCCUUGAUGGAGUUCGAAGAUGAGCAUUUUCCGCUUAGGGUAAGCAGAGAUAAGCAAUUUGAUUGGUUGAUACUUUGGGGCACGAUAACUCUCUUCCUAAUUGAGCUAGAAUGUUCAAACUUGGUGUAUGUGUUGAUUAGGUCAAUGCCUUGAUGGAGUUCGAAGAUGAGCAUUUUCCGCUUAGGGUAAGCAGAGAUAAGCAAUUUGAUUGGUUGAUGCUUUGGGACACGAUAACUUUAGUUCUAAUUAAGUGAGAUUGAUGAAACUUGGUGUAUAGAUUUAUUAUAUGAAUACCUUAACUAAGUUCGAUAAUGAACAUUUUUUGCUGAGGGUAAGCAGAGUGAUAAGCAAUUUGAUUGGUAGAAACUUUGGAACACAAUAACUCUCCUUCUAAUUGAGGUAGAAUGUUCAAACUUGGCAUAGGUGUCUAUUAGGUGAAUGUUUAAACUUGAUGUAUAUGUAGAUGUUCAUUAGGUGAAUGUCUUGAUUCUAUCUGAUAGAGAGUGAUGAAACUUAGUGAAAAAAAUAAAUGUGCGAUUAAUUAAUAUGUGUCAUCUAUUUAUUUUGCAAUUUCGGCGGGGGACAUCAGCCUCACUGUUGGCUUGUUAUUUUAUUUUGUGUGUCAACCUGAAAUAUAUCACGAGAGUUAUUUCCCUUUACUAUGGCUAUGGAUUGAUUCAUUAUUGAAACUGGUUGAUCAAGACGAAAGCGUCAUAGGUGUCGCUUCUCAACAAAAUGGUUGCAGACGAAUACACGUCCAUUCCCACGAAAUGAUUCUGCUUCUAUGUCUGUGGUGCGUAGUUUUAAACAUGACGACGAUAUUUUCAAUAUCCGUUUUCGAGAAAAAUGAAGGCACAACCCUUGUUGAAGGAGUUUCACACUUCAAGUUCGUGGCAAAUCGUGUGCGAGUCGGGCAUCACGAAAAAUUCCCGAUGUCAUUCACUCAUUGAUUUUUUUGCCAAUUGAAUAAAGAAGACGAAUGUUUCCACCCGGAAAAUUAUUAAGCUGUCAAAUUAGCUCUUAAGUUUAAUAAAAAAAACUUUCAGUUCGUUACUUUUUACGUCAGACCCCAAAUUCAUUAAACAAAAUUAAUGAAUCUGUAGUAUACAGCUAGGCUAAUAAGUUUUCUGUAUUGAUUUCUCUAACUUUAAAAAAAAAAUCUGAAAAAAAAAACCGACCUACCGACCCUUCUCCUCGAUUGUGGGUCGGGUUUGGUGAAACAAAGAUAUUUUUAAGGUCAGCCUUACGUGUUCAUUUAUAAUCUGUCGUUCUAUGUCCAGUUUUUCAAACCAAUCAGAGUAAAUGGAACCUGUCAUCCAGGGGGCAACUGUAAAAAAAAAUGCAAACAGCAACUGGGGGGUGGGGUGGGUCUGUCAGCCGAAAAAGGUGCAUGAAAAAGUGCAUUUCCGGGUAAGAAAAUUGGGUGGUCUAACUGAGUUCUGCAAGAAAAAAAGCAUUUCCGGGUAAGAAAAUUGGGUGGUCUAACUGAGUUCUGCGAGAAAAAAAGCAUUUCCGGGUAAGAAAAUUGGGUGGUCUAACAGAGUUCUGCAAGAAAAAAAGCAUUUCCGGGUAAGAAAAUUGGGUGGUCUAACAGAGUUCUGAAAGAAAAAAAGCAUUUCUGGGUAAGAAAAUUAGGAGGUCUAAUGGGUCCCUGCAAGAAAAUUGCAUGAAACGGGAUACGAAGUGUUUCAGUUCAUAUCAAUAACAACUCCAUCAAAAUUGAAUCGUAUUUCCGUUUUACCGAGGUGUGUCGAAUUAGUGGUCGAAUCCAAGCGAAGAUAAAUUCAAUUUUAAAAUGCUUGAUGAGUCUUGGGUCGCUGGUAAAUAAAUUAUGAAAGAAAAUGCUAUUCGAAUAUUUCAAAUAAAAUAUUUUUAACGUCUGAAGAUUUUUAAAAAGAUUAGUAAAUUAGCCUUAGUGUGGCCUUUUUGACCGGUAGUGCCAGUCGUGAAUGAAUUAGUUACGGUCUGUUAACCGAGACUACACAGGGAUAACUCUUGGCAACAACCGGCGACAAUGAUGGCUACACUUUCGAAGUUUUGAUAACUUUAACAUGGAGAUGUGUUUUGAUGAAGUUUGAAAAUAGUGUGAUGGUCAUCUGAGCAGAAUUUCUUGAAGAUAUAUGUCAAUAAAGAUUUGGGUUGAGGAAGAUGGCUGAGCACAAAAUGAAAAAAAAGUACACUGUAAUAUUUAUAUACGCAGUUAUUCGCCUUGCUAAAACAGAGGGGAGUUAUAUAUUGUCCAAUCGACAGUGUCUAAUCCACCAACCAAAACGCAAGAUUCACAAGCAUGUUACAAUGCUGUGUCGAUACUGUUUUUUUCCCUGUCUCGGAAGUGGUGUUUGGUAGCUAUGUUUUUAGGACAAUUGUGAUACUUAAGUGAAUGGUGAACUUUGUGUCGUAAGGUGAAGACUGUGAUUAACUUUAUAGUGAACUUUAAAGUGAACUUUAAUUUCGUGAAAACCCAUGCUUUCUAACAUGGCGGAUCUCCAUAGACAUCGUGAACUCUGUGAACUGUGAACCAUGAACUGUGAAUUCCGUGACUCGUGAACUCUAAUUAUUGAAUUAGAACUGUCAACAAAGAAAGCUGUCAACUUGUUUAUGUUUGUACUGUAACUCCUGUUUCUUGUAUAUGUUUAUUUACAUAAAUAUUCAUUAAUA